AGGAACCAGCUAAAAUCUUUAAUUAGUUUAAGUAAUCACACUGAAUUCUUGUUUAUAACAUAUCUUGGUAGGUCUGCUACAGGAAAAGGAUACUUAUAUAAUCUUGGAAAUAAGUUGCUGAUGCAUUAUACUGGAAAUCGACUCAGACCAUAUUGCUCUAGGUGCCAGCUCAUAAAAUAUUAUGCUUUUUAAUGACUAUAUAAAACCAUGAUGGAAGAAAAGAGUGAGAAACACCUCAAAAUCAAAGAUGAUUUACAAGUUAUGUUUUAGGAACUGUCUGAAUUCUUACCAUAGCAGGAAAUCUUAGUCAGACCAUACAAUAGUGAAAAGUGAGUAAUUCAGACAUACCACAUUAAGAAAUGACUGAGACUACACUGAAUUAAAUAGCUUGCUACCUACCCAAUUUCUUCCUGACAUUAUAAUACAUACAAACAUAGAACAGAAAGAUGUGUUAUUGCUUUGAGGAAGGCAGUUUGGAUAAGCCAUUUGCCAUUACAGUUAGUUAUUUUAAUAGUCUAUCUUUUUGUAUCUUAUUGAGCAAAUUCCAUAUUCAGCACAUUCAUGUAACCACAGUGAAGUUUGUGAGUCUGUUAGCAGAAUUUGACCCAUGCUGUCUAAGAGGAUUCUGUCUAUUAUGUCACUAUUACCAAAUAGACUAGCUCCAGUCUCCUGUUUCCCCCAUUCCCAGUUUCUCGCUCAGCUGGUUUUUAAAGACUGCAGUAGCUAUCGUAGACCUUAUGCAGAGAAUCAGGCCCAUGGCUCCUGUUCACCUUCUAAAGCCUAUAGCAGGUUGUGAGAAUCUUAGAUGAGCCACAAACAAGGAAAGCUAAUAAAGAGAGCCAAAUCAAAGUAUGGAGUCAGUCAGGGGCUGAGGGGAUGAACAGCUCCACGUAUGGAUCUGGAGUGUCAACUGUAGAGUACCAAACAGAAGGAGAAGUAAAUAACUAGUUUUUAACCAUCAUCAUCAUCAUCUGCUCGGAUGCAUAGAUAGCUUUAAAGGAGAGGAUGUCAGAUAUACAAGAUAAGUGAAGACAGCAGAUCUGAUGCAUAGUAGGUAAUGGACUACAUAACACUUCCUGUACCUCCUGGGAGGAGGAGUACUCUGUGCGUUGGAACUACAAAGCAGCCAAGCCUUGAGCUGGAGUAUCUGCAGGUUGAGAUGGAGAGAGUGUUCUUUCUGCAAGAGGAGGACCUUCAACAAGAGAGGGAAUGGGGAAUGGCAUAAAGAAGGCCCUUGUCCCAUGGAAGAAGGAGACCGUCCCCUAAUGAGUGCUGUCCGACGCCAGCCCUGGAUCAAUAAUGUGGGCAUUUCCUCUUCAAAUAAGUAGCAAACAAGUUUAUUGUUGGUGUCCUCCACUGACAAAAUAUGCUGCAAAGUACUGUGGGGUUCACUUCCCACUCAUGGUCAUGUGAAAACUGCCUGUUGUUGUGUUCGGUACUGAUAUUAGAACAUUGUGGCAAAUGCUUCAGUUCCAGAGCCUCCCUUUUGAUUUAUGUAGCACACAAUCUUCUCUGUCCACCCUGAGUUCAACAACGUUGAUGUGGAGAGUCACUAUUUUCCCUGAUUCAUGAGGUUGUUGAGGUGUGCAGCACAACCCAUGAGGGAUGUGUCUGUAGUGAGCAGAAAUGUCAAAGGAGGGCUGAGCGAACUGGACCCCUGUGCAAACAUUUACCGGGUCUUUGACCCUGGAAGGCAUCAAGAGAGGGUUGUCUAACCUGUCUCUUUUUGGCCUAUAAACCGAGCUGAACCAUGUCUGCAGACACCUCAUCUCUAGUUUGGCAUGAAAUAUUACAAACAUACCAGCCACCAUGUGCUGCAGAAGCUGGAGGAACAUCUGGCCAAUGUUUGAGGGCUAGCUUGAACUGUCUAAGUGUGGACAGGCUGUGAAAUCUGUGUUGUGGAAGGAGCGUCCUCACUUGCAAUGAGUCGAGGUCGACCCCUAUGAACUCCAAACAUUGCACUGGAGCUAAGGUCGACUUUUGGACAUUAAUUUGCAGGUCCAGGUUUGUGAAUAACCACUUCCUCUAGUCCAAUCUCCUACUCCUCCAGGAUCUCCUCAGGAGGUUCUGAGGCUCCACAGUAUAUAAUGCUGCCCACGUAUCCCAUAGGGGCAGUGAAAAAGGCAUGGCUGGCUGACCCCAUGGUUAGUCAUACCACAGGGGUUGAGCUCGAGACUCAGGGUAUGACUGGGAAGGCCCAGGUUGGUAGUUGGAGGAAGCAUAGUGAGAGUGAUGGCCAUUAUCCAACUCUCCACUAGAAAGUGGUGGAGCCGAUACAGAGGUGCAUGGAUCAGUGCUGGUGGUCAUUAUGGAGUUCAAGAUGUGCCCAGUACUGAGGCCCUGGUACAAAUUAGAUGAGACUGAUACCUUAGAUACUCUGAGGUCCUUAGAGAACCUAAAUUCCUAUUGUGCCACAGUAUUUGGUACCCUUAGCGGUUGCUGUUAUUGAGUUGGUGGUACUGAGGGAGCUCGCAACCUUGGCUGCAUCGAGCACUCUAAUGAUGGUUGCCUCGCAGUCAUCGGUUCCAAUGGCAUCUGUACCGAUGCAGUCUUCCCAGAGGUGGCACAAUCUCCACACUUGUCCGUGACCGGUGGUACCAUUGAUUUGGUGCCUGUGCCCAGGGGGUCCUUAGGCAUACCAGGGGUACCUGUCACACUGGACCCACACAACCUGUGGGUAUCAUGUUUAGAUGUCUUCAGUGCUGUCAGUACCAAAGAGAUCGAAUGUGCCAGGGACCUCCUCUCACUGGUUCAGGGCUCACUACAAAGGCUUGAGGAUCUCUUUUUGGAGGUCUUGCAUGGGGCAUCUGAGGAUUUCUUCCUUGGCUCA